ACUUUCAAAUACACAGGACACUAUCAUCAUGCUGUACAUUAUAUCCCCAGGACUUGUUUAUUUUAUAACUGGAGGUUUGUAUUUUUUGACCAUCUUCAC